GGAUCGCCUCGUAGUGACCUGCGGAGGAUCAUUACCGAGUUGAUUCGGGCUCCGUCCCGAUCCUCCCACCCUUUGUAUACCUACCUCUGUUGCUUUGGCGGGCCGCGGUCUUCCGCGGCCGCCCCCCGAUUUUGGGGGGUGGCUAGUGCCCGCCAGAGGACUAUCAAACUCCAGUCAGUAAACGUUGCAGUCUGAAAAAAAUAUUAAAUAAACUAAAACUUUCAACAACGGAUCUCUUGGUUCUGGCAUCGAUGAAGAACGCAGCGAAAUGCGAUAAGUAAUGUGAAUUGCAGAAUUCAGUGAAUCAUCGAAUCUUUGAACGCACAUUGCGCCCCUUGGUAUUCCGGGGGGCAUGCCUGUUCGAGCGUCAUUUCAACCCUCAAGCUCUGCUUGGUAUUGGGCACCGUCCUUUGCGGGCGCGCCUCAAAGACCUCGGCGGUGGCGUCUUGCCUCAAGCGUAGUAGAAUACACCUCGCUUCGGAGCGUAAGGCGUCGCCCGCCGGACGAACCUUCUGAACUUUUCUCAAGGUUGACCUCGGAUCAGGUAGGGAUACCCGCUGAACUUAAGCAUAUCAAAAGCCGGAGGAAAC
rnacentral:rRNA from 1 species